UUUCACUCUCUAACACUGCUCAUGUUCUCUAAACUUGGGGCUACAUCAUCUUCGACAGAGGUUGCUGCAAAUCACUCAAUGUUCUUUAUUUGUUCGCUCUUAUGCGUAGGUGGAUCAUUAGAAACCAUGUUUUUCUCAUAUCUGUUAUGGAUGAGGUGGUGGAUGUUGUCGCAACAAAGCUUCUUCAAAUGGUGGUGGUAGUGUUCGUUUAGGCUCAUGAAUUGCAUUAAGGGUUCAAUUAUGUUGGGCACAUGGGCUUUGUUUGGACUUAUGGUUAAUUGUGGUAAUGUGAGUUAAGAGUUUUAGUGUGGCUUUUAUCCGCUUUAGUUUUGUUUUUAACAUAUUAGUUUGUUGCCAUCUUAGGAUUAGUACUUUAGAUGUCAUUGACGUCUUUGAUUGUACUGUUGAAGUUUAUCUAAUGAAAG
rnacentral:lncRNA from 1 species